CCGUCGUGUGACAGUUGGGAGAGGAGGCUCGGUGGUAGUGAUUUUAAUCGAUUAGGGACUUGGAUACCGUAGCGCGUAAUUGACCGUUGUGACCUCUUCGGUUGUCAUUCAUACACUUGGUGGAUAGGUAGAAACUGCAUGACUCGUCAGAAAAGAUCCUCAGUUGCAUGGGACUGGUGAAUCACAAGAUAUUUGGCAUUGUGUGAUCAACACAACAAGCAUUGUGAAGGGAGACUGCACAGACUCCAUUCACAAUGACUGUCAACCAGUCCUCCUUCACUUACUACCAAUCAUCAGAACCGCACAGGGCAUCCCAGAUGCUGGACCAGCUGCGCGAGAUCACCGGCGUGCAGGACGAGGCGGUGUUGUCGCAGGCGCUCGACGCCAGCCGCGUCGCUGCCACCGGCCAGUACGACGUGGCGCGCGCCGCCACAC
rnacentral:lncRNA from 1 species